CAGUAGCCGCGGGAAUACAGAGGGUGCGAGCGUUAAUCGGAUUUACUGGGCGUAAAGCGUGCGUAGGCGGCUUCUUAAGUCGGAUGUGAAAUCCCUGAGCUUAACUUAGGAAUUGCAUUCGAUACUGGGAAGCUAGAGUAUGGGAGAGGAUGGUAGAAUUCCAGGUGUAGCGGUGAAAUGCGUAGAGAUCUGGAGGAAUACCGAUGGCGAAGGCAGCCAUCUGGCCUAAUACUGACGCUGAGGUACGAAAGCAUGGGGAGCAAACAGGAUUAGAUACCCGCGUAGUCCCUGUCCCUUAUAC
rnacentral:rRNA from 1 species